rnacentral:tRNA from 1 species
UCUAAGAAAAAGGACAUGUAUGGUAGCGUCAGCGGCGGUGAUGACAACGAUAGUA